rnacentral:rRNA from 1 species
CCCUUAGAUGUUCUGGGCCGCACGCGCGCUACACUGACGAAGUCAGCGAGCAUGUCCUACGCCGACAGGUGCGGGGAAUCUUGUCAAACUUCGUCGUGAUGGGGAUUGAUUAUUGAAAUUCUUGAUCAUCAACGAGGAAUUCCUAGUAAGCGCAAGUCAGCAGCUUGCGUUGAUUACGUCCCUGCCCUUUGUACACACCGCCCGUCGCUACUACCGAUUGAAUGGUUUAUUGAGAUCUUCGGAUUGGCGCCACUGCGGCUCAGCAAUGGGCUCGGUGGAUGCCGAAAAGUUGAUCAAACUUGAUCAUUUAGAGGAAGUAAAAGUCGUAACA